GGGGAGCUGGGGCGGACGAACUCCUAGAACCACUAGAGGAGGAAGUGCUGGAGGAUAUUUUGGAUCGAGCAAAAACCCUAAAACCCCCAAAAAAAUUGGGAAAAAUAAGAAACGGGACAUUCGUGGGAAACCGAACAAGUGGAAUGUAACAGAAGAAAAACGAAAGAAGAACAGCAAGAGAAAGAACAAAGAGGGGAGUUCUAAAACUAACCUAGGCUGGUUUGAAGAAUGCAAAGAUGGGGACGACUCGAAGAAUGCCUAAGGACGAAAAAAAUGUUGAGGAAGGAUGAAACUCUCAGG
rnacentral:lncRNA from 1 species